UUUCCGUAGGUGAACCUGCGGAAGGAUCAUUCAUAAUAAGUGUUUUACUGCACUUUUUAAAAAUAGUACUCACCUUGAGUGCAAUGUUGUGUUUCUUUUCGGAGAAACACCUACACCAACCUAUAACCUUGAACCACUUUGUCUGAAAGACUAUUAUGAAUACUUAAUUCAAAAUACAACUUUCAACAACGGAUCUCUUGGCUCUC
rnacentral:misc_RNA from 1 species